rnacentral:lncRNA from 1 species
CUGAAAAUGCCAAAGCCUUCCAACACCUUUAACCAAAUUCUUCUUACAAAGAAACUCAUCAGCAUAAAGUUUCUCAACCCUACGAUCCACAUCAUGCAAAAACACAUGCGUCACACCAGAUCCCUUCCUAUUCCUCGCCAUAACAGCAGCUGAAAACACCGCCGCCAUUCUCCCCGGCGCCUCCGCGAAAUACCCUUUCGGCGCAUCGAUCAUAAUAAGAUCCCACUCCGUAUCGUAAACCUCAUCGGGUAAAUUCUCAAGCGCAAGCUUGCAUGCUUUGUUUCCACGUAGAAAAGCUUUAGAAGGUGAACACAUAGGUUCCUUGCGGUAGGAGGAGAUGAGUUUGCUGGCUUCACGAAGCUGGGUUCGAUAACGAACGGUAUGGGCUCGAAGGCCCGGUGCAUCUUUAAGAACGGUUUGAACCCAUUUAGGAUCUUCUUCAAGGAAUAAUGUGUUGCCACCUGGGUUAAACGAAGCCCACAUGAGAGAAUCAUGGCCAAGUCCGAAGACAAGAAAGUUGCAUGGUCGAUCGUAGGUUUUUAAGACAUCGAAACUGAUCUUGAUCUCUGAGACCGAUUGUUGAGGAACAACACGUGAUGUGGCGUAGUGAAGAAUGGCUCUUAGUUGGAUCGGUGAGGGAUUGUUGUCCUCGUUUGAUCGGGCUCGGAUCGAGGAGGAGAUUGGACAAUGUAGUGAUGAGGAUGUACCGAAGGUUGUGAUCGCUGUGGCUAUGAACAAUGCAGCUACUAUUAAUCCAAUUGUUGUUAAUCCUAUGAAUAGUUUUCUUUGUUGGAGAGGAUAAUAAUAACGGUUCUUCAUUUUUUUUUUGUUUGUUAAUGUAAUGUGGUUGUGUUGUUGUGUUUGUGUGGCAUGUUAUGAUAUUUUUUGGGUUGGUAUAGGGACUGGGGAAUUUACUUGUUAGCUUGAAAGGUAAGGGAAGGGGAUGAAGGUGGUUUGAUUUUGUCAAAUGAUGGAUAUGGGAAUAAGAGAAAUUGGCAGGGCAACGAGUGAGAGUGAGAAGGUUCAAUGACAAUGACAAUGACAAAGUGAGGAUGCAAUGUGAGAGAUUAUUUUUUAAGCAAUUGGUUUUAAG